rnacentral:rRNA from 1 species
CCUACGGGUGGCUGCAGUGAGGAAUAUUGGUCAAUGGACGGAAGUCUGAACCAGCCAUGCCGCGUGCAGGAAGACGGCCCUAUGAGUUGUAAACUGCUUUUGUACAAGGGUAAACCUGAAUACGUGUAUUCAGAUGAACGUACUGUACGAAUAAGGAUCGGCUAACUCCGUGCCAGCAGCCGCGGGAAUACGGGGGAUCCAAGCUUUAUCCGGAUUUAAUGGGUUUAAAGGGUGCGUAGGUGGAUUGAUAAGUUAGGGGGGAAAUGUCCGAGUUUAACUCGGGGACUGCCUUUAAUACUGUAGACCUCGAGAGUGGGUGCGGUAGGCGGAAUGGAUGGUGUAGCGGUGAAAUGCUUAGAGAUCAUACAGAACACCGAUUGCGAAGGCAGCUUACCAAUCUAUAUCUGACGUUGAGGCACGAAAGCGUGGGGAGCGAACAGGAUUAGAUACCCGAGUAGUC